rnacentral:lncRNA from 1 species
GUGGGCAUAAUUGCAGAGCUAAUAUCUGCAGAGCUGACUUCCUCGUCCUUUGGCUGUAGAGGAAAUAAAAAAGGCUUAUGCUUUUCUUGAGCUUUUUUGGAAUCCUUCUUGGCACUGGGAAUACAGAGGUGAUGGGCAGGAAAAUUCCCUGAUUUUAUAGAGCUUAAAUUCUUGUAGGAGAGACAGACAAUAACAAGCCUGCGGUUAAUCAGUAUUUGAACCUGAAUCUCAAGGAUCUUCUUAUGCUAAGCCUGAGACCAGACCAAGAGGAUACAUGGCACAGUGCUUUUGACCAUCUUGACCAGAACCACAAAACCCAGGAAAUUUCUCAGAAAUGGAUGUUCUCUACUGAUUUCCAAACCUUAGAAAGAAGACUGACUGAGAUGUGUUGGCGGGCUUCUCAAGAUCCCUAUCGAUGGCAGAAUGCUGACAUGAGUUGCCCAUAGUCCAGGUUUCCCAAUGUAGCAGAUGACUCUAGCGGCUCCAGCUUCAGCAUCAUCUUAAGUUCAAGUGAAAAGGAAAAGAGAAUCUCUUUUUCUUCAAACAAUUUCAAACUAAAAUCUUGAGUCUGACUUUUCCUGGCCAGAAUUAAGCUUGUACUUAUCCCUGAAAAAUCAUCAAUGCUACAGUGAUGAAUUUACCAAUUGAGGCAGAAUUUAGGUCACAUGACGCUCCAAAGCCUCUUCAAAACCGCAUGACUCAGAGUGAGGCAGAAGUAUUUGGGAUAUUUGCAACAGGAGAAGGGUAAAUGAAUGGAGAGUGCCAAAACAACUUAUGUCAAUUAUACAAUUAUAAAUACAACCAAAAUAAAGUAUGGAAAUCAGUAUUUUCACCUAUCUUAACAGAGUGAAAGAUUUAUUCUGUUGAAUAUUUGCCAUAUUUCACUUUCCACAUUCAGCACUCUGCAAUAUUUAAAGAAGAAAAUAAGUCUCCAUAUACUGAAUAAAGACAUAUCAAAAUUUGUGUGACAUCAUAUUCCUUAGUUACAUUUUUUGUUCAUUCAUUUGUGUGUUUGUUUAUGUCACCCACACUAGAUCAUGGUGGUGUGAACAUGGUUCACUACAGCCUCAACAUCCUGGGCCCAAGCAAUCCUCCCACCUCAGCCUCCUGUGUAGCUAAGACCACAGGUGGGCACCACCAUGCCCAGCUACCUUUUAAUUUUUUGUAGAUAUGGGGGUCUCACUUUGUUGCCCAGGCUGGUCUCGAACUCCUGGGCUCAAGCUAUCCCCACAACACUUUGGUUUGGCCUCCCAAAGUGUCGGGAUUACAGGUGCGAGCCAGUGCACUCAGCCUUACAUUUUUUAAUAAAUGAAUUUAAACAAAGAAUAGAAACAUAUUUUUAAACACACCAAUUAACAAACCAAAGUGUAUUGCAAAUUAUUGGAAGGGACAGCAGAGUGAAAAAAUGUUAUCCCACCUGCAGGAGGUGGAAAAGGUGAUAAUAUGAAACAAAUAUUUCCACCUAUCCUAAUAGAGUAAAAGAUUUAUUCUGCUGGAUAUUUUCUGUAUUUUACCUACCUUCCACAUUCAGCACUCUGCACUCUCUUGCCCAACUAUUCCUUUUAAUUUUCCCAUAAUACAACUUUUUAAUAUUUUAUGUAAUAUAUGUAUUUAUUUCUUUCUUUUACUAACUGUGUUUCCUACUGGAAUGUAAGCUUCAAAAAUUCAGAGAUCUUUGUCCUUGUUGCUGAUAUAGCCUACUGUCUAAAAAAAACUUCAGAUAUUUAAUUUUUUUAACUUUUAAGUUCAGGGGUACAAGUGCAAGUUUGUUACAUAGAUAAACAUGUGUCAUGGGGGUUUCUUGUGCAUAUCAUUUAAUCACUCAGGUAUUAAGCUUAGUACCCAUUAGUUAUUUUUUUCUGAUCUUCUCUCUCCUCCUAUCCUUCACUCUUCAAUAGGCCCCAGUGUGUGUUAUUCUCCUCUAUGGGUCCAUAUGUUCUCAUCAUUUAGCUCCCACUUAUAAGUGAGAGCAUGCAGUGUUUGGUUUUCUGUUUCUGUCAGUUUGCUAGGGAUAAUGGCCUCCAGCUCCAACCAUGUUCCUGCAAAGGACAUGAUCUCAUUUUUUUUAUGGCUGCAUGGUAGUCCAUGGUGUAUAUAUACCACAUUUUCUUUAUCCAGUCUAUCAUUGAUGGGCAUUUAUAUUGAUUUCAUGUCUUUGAGAUUGUAAAUAGUGCUGCAGUGAACAUAUGUGUGUAUGUGUCUUUAUAAUAUAAUGAUUUAUGUUCCUUUGGGUAUAUACCCAGCAAUGGGAUUGCUGGGUCAAAUGGUUUUUCUGUCUUUAGGUCUUUGAGGAAUUGCCACACUGUCUUCCACCAUCUUUAUUUCUGCCUUCGUUUCGUUAUGUACCAGUAGUCAUUCAGGAGCAGGUUAUUCAGUUUCCAUGUAGUUGAUCAGUUUUGAGUGAGUUUCUUAAUCCUGAGUUCUAGUUUGAUUGCACUGUGGU